AGACUGUCGACCAAUCAGUUUCUGAUGCGAAGUGGGCGGAACUUCCGCUGCUGGAAACACUGUAGGUUAGCGGUGUAUCUCGAGGCGAAAAGGCUACAGCCGGAGCCGAGAUAGUGCCGAAGGGCAAAAGCACCCCUCUGAGCGCGAAGAUGUCCCAGCAUGGAGCCGCCGAGGGGUUAGCUCGAAAGCUCCGCCCCAUUAACGACCCGCAUGCGGGCAUGUAACUGCACAAGAGUACAGGGCUGUGGCCUUCAAAUACCACCAAAUGCUCCAAAGCAAUCGAGAAAAACAGUAAUUACUGCACUAUGGUAAGACAUAAGAUGUGUGACAGAGUGAGUCUGUCAAGGUUAUUGGGCUAAGCCUCUGUGCCUGUGAUUGGAAGGUUGCUGAUGUGAGCCCAGCCUCAGCAGAAUAAUCAUACCUAUGGGCCCCUGAGAAAGGCCUUUAACCCCCCAGCUCCAUGGGCACCACUGCAGAUAAAUGCUAUUCACUGCCAAGAUUGCUCUCAUGUGUCUGUGUGUCAUGGAAAGCAAGAUGGUGUAACCAAGAUGAGAAUUUCCCCAUGU